UUCCGGUUGAUCCUGCCGAAGGCUACUGCUAUUGGAGUUCGAUUAAGCCAUGCGAGUCUAAGGGAUCUUCGGAUCCCUGGCAUAAUGCUCAGUAACACGUGGAUAAUCUACCCUCAGGUGGGGCAUAAACCCGGGAAACUGGGGCCAAUUCCCCAUAAAUACAGAUGGCUGGAAUGCUUCUGUGUUCAAAGCUCCGGCGCCUGAGGAUGAGUCUGCGGCCUAUCAGGUUGUAGUCAGGGUCAUGACCUGACUAGCCAGCGACGGGUACGGGGUGUGAGAGCACUUGCCCGGAGAUGGUUUCUGAGACACGAAACCAGGCCCUACGGGGCGCAGCAGGCGCGAAAACUUCGCAAUGCGGGAAACCGUGACGAGGGAACUCCAAGUGUCUAUGCAUUGCAUAGACUGUUUUUUAGCCUAAAUAGCUAUUAGAGUAAGAGGUGGGCAAGACCGGUGCCAGCCGCCGCGGUAACACCGGCACCUCGAGUGGUAGCCACUAUUAUUGGGCCUAAAGCGUUCGUAGCCGGUUUGGUAAAUUCUUGGGUAAAUCGUACCGCUUAACGGUGCGGAUUCCGGGGACACUACCAGACUUGAGACCGGGGGAGAUCAGAGGUACUUGUGGGGGAGCGGUGAAAUGUUGUAAUCCUGCAGGGACCACCAGUGGCGAAGGCGUCUGAUCAGAACGGCUCUGACGGUGAGGAACGAAACCCUGGGGCGCAAACGGGAUUAGAUACCCCGGUAGUCCAGGGCGUAAACGCUGCUGACUUGGUGUUGGAGAUCCUACGAGGAUGUCCAGUGCUGGCGCGAAGGUAUUAAGUCAGCCGCCUGGGGAGUACGGUCGCAAGACUGAAACUUAAAGGAAUUGGCGGGGGAGCACUGCAACGUGUGGAGCGUGCGGUUUAAUUGGAUUCAACGCCGGA
rnacentral:rRNA from 1 species